UACCUGGUUGAUCCUGCCAGUAGUCAUAUGCUUGUCUCAAAGAUUAAGCCAUGCAUGUCUAAGUUCAUGCCUUUAUACGGUGAAACCGCGAAUGGCUCAUUAAAUCAGCUAUGGUUUAUUGGAUCAUACUCGUUAAAUGGAUAACUGUAAUAACUCUAGAGCUAAUACAUGCCACGAAGCCCUGACCCCGGGCUCCCUCGGGGAAUGGGUGCACUUAUUAGAACAGAAGCCAACCAGUCUCCGCGUGCAUUCCCUCCUUCGGGAGGUGUGUGCGCGGGCUGCAGCACUUCUGGUGACUCUGGAUAAUUGUUACAGAUCGCAGUCGGCUUUACGUCGGCGACGGGUCCUUCAAAUGUCUGCCCUAUCAACUUUCGAUGGUAGGUGACCUGCCUACCAUGGUGAUAACGGGUAACGGGGAAUCAGGGUUCGAUUCCGGAGAGGGAGCCUGAGAAACGGCUACCACUUCCAAGGGAGGCAGCAGGCGCGCAAAUUACCCACUCCCGGUACGGGGAGGUGGUGACGAAAAAUACCGAUGCGGGACUCAUUUACGAGGCUCCGUAAUCGGAAUGAGUGGACUCUAAAUCCUUUCACGAGGAUCAAUUGGAGGGCAAGUCUGGUGCCAGCAGCCGCGGUAACUCCAGCUCCAAUAGCGUAUAUUAAAGUUGCUGCAGUUAAAAAGCUCGUAGUUGGAUCUCGGUAGCAUUGUUGCCUGCUCAGUUGUCAUGCUCUGCGGCGUGCAUCACAUCGUGUGGGUCGGCUGUGCAUUGUCCACGCUCCUAUGGGGGCUGGGCGUGUGCGCUUGGCUUCAUCACGGUGGGUGUACACAAAAACCGCAGUGUAUUGAGCUGGCGUGGCGAUGGUGCCACCUUUGAGCCAUGUCUGUGGUGUAACAGCCACAGGUGUAUGCGAGUGUCGGGCAGUGCUCUGCACCUUCUGUGGGGCCUAGCCGGCUCGCCUGCAUGCCAGUGGAUGCCCUUUAAAAGGUGUUCAUGGGCGGAUGGCACGUUUACUUUGAACAAAUUUGAGUGCUCAAAUCAGGCCGAUGUCGCCUGAAAAGUUUUGCAUGGAAUAAUGGAAUAGGACUUCGGUUCUAUUUCGUUGGUUUUCGGAUCCGAAGUAAUGAUCAAAAGAGACAGGCGGGGACGUUUGUAUGGCUGCGCUAGAGGUGAAAUUCAUGGACCGUAGCCAGACAAACUAAAGCGAAAGCAUUCGUCAAGCAUGUUUUCAUUGGCCAUGAGCGAAAGUCAGAGGCUCGAAGACGAUCAGAUACCGUCCUAGUUCUGACCAUAAACGAUGCCAACUGACGAUCCGUGGCGGUAGUUUCUAAACCUUCCCCACGGGCAGUCCCCGGGAAACCUUUAAGUCUUUGGGUUCCGGGGGAAGUAUGGUUGCAAAGCUGAAACUUAAAGGAAUUGACGGAAGGGCACCACCAGGAGUGGAGCCUGCGGCUUAAUUUGACUCAACACGGGAAAACUCACCCGGGCCGGACACUGUGAGGAUUGACAGAUUGAUAGCUCUUUCUUGAUUUGGUGGUUGGUGGUGCAUGGCCGUUCUUAGUUGGUGGAGCGAUUUGUCUGGUUAAUUCCGAUAACGAACGAGACUCCAGCCUGCUAAUUAGUGCAUUUGUCCACUGCACCAGCCGAGCGGCGCAGUGUCAACUGCUCUGGCUCAGUGCAGGAACCGGCGCGUUUGUGCAUCCUGCGUGGUCGCACUGCCUCGUGUGGUGUGGCUGUGUGGGGCUAUGCGCGGCGUGUUAGGCCUGCAUGUUGUGCCUGGGGCGGAUGGCACCACGUUAGCUAGCAGGUGCGGCGCGAAUGCUUACUUCUUAGAGGGACACGCGGGAGAAGCCGCACGAAAUAGAGCAAUAACAGGUCUGUGAUGCCCUUAGAUGUCCGGGGCCGCACGCGCGCUACAAUGGCGGUGUCAACGAGUCAGACCUUCUGGCCUGAAAAGGUUGGGCAAACUGGUCAAUCACCGUCAUGACAGGGAUCGGGGCUUGGAAUUGUUCCCCGUGAACGAGGAAUUCCUAGUAAGUGCAAGUCAUAAGCUUGCGCUGAUUACGUCCCUGCCCUUUGUACACACCGCCCGUCGCUACUACCGAUUGAAUGGUUUAGUAAGGUCCUUGGAUUGGUGCCAUUUAGGUUCCGCCGAAAGGUGCGUAUCUAGCCGGCGCCGAGAAGACGACCAAACUUGAUCAUUUAGAGGAAGUAAAAGUCGUAACAAGGUUUCCGUAGGUGAACCUGCGGAAGGAUCAUUA
rfam:Hymenolepis nana genome assembly, scaffold: HNAJ_contig0006266